CCUACGGGUGGCAGCAGUGAGGAAUAUUGGUCAAUGGCCGGAAGUCUGAACCAGCCAAGCCGCGUGAGGGAGGAAGGCGCAGAGCGUCGCAAACCUCUUUUACCGGGGAACAAAACGCCGGACGUGUCCGGUUCUGAAUGUACCCGUCGAAUAAGCAUCGGCUAACUCCGUGCCAGCAGCCGCGGUAAUACGGGGGAUGCGAGCGUUAUCCGGGUUUAUUGGGUUUAAAGGGUGCGUAGGCUGUGAGGUAAGUCCGGGUUGAAAAGCCUCCGCUCAACGGGGUGAAGUGCCAUUGAUACUGCCGGGCUGGAAUGCGGAUGAGGUGGGCGGAAUUUGUGGUGUAGCGGUGAAAUGCAUAGAUAUCACACAGAACACCGAUUGCGAAGGCAUCUCACGAAGCCGCGACUGACGCUGAGGCACGAAAGUGUGGGUAUCAAACAGGAUUAGAUACCCGAGUAGUC
rnacentral:rRNA from 1 species